UACGUAGGUGGCAAGCGUUGUCCGGAUUUACUGGGCGUAAAGAGCGCGCAGGCGGCCAAGUCAGUCGAAUGUGAAAGCCCCCCGGCUCAACUGGGGAAAGUCAUUCGAUACUGCUCGGCUUGAAGAUAGGAGAGGGAAGCGGAAUUUCAGGUGUAGUGGUGAAAUGCGUAGAUAUCUGAAGGAACACCAGUGGCGAAGGCGGCUUUCUGGCCUAUUCUUGACGCUGAGGCGCGAAAGCUAGGGGAGCGAACGGG
rnacentral:rRNA from 1 species